rnacentral:lncRNA from 1 species
GUGAAGUUUUGUGGGGCUGGAGCUGUCCAUGGAUGGCUCUGAUCAAAAGCCAUCACCUCAAGGUUCCAAGAGAACAUGACUCCUAGGUCCCUCCAUAAAGCUCAGAAUAAAGAGCUUCUCUGCUGACCCACCUCUGGUUGGUUCUACCCCAGAAGGGACUCCUAACUUUUCCAUAAAUCCUGCUCCACCAUCAAUAUUUGGCCCCCAGGUCCUUUCAACUCUGUGCCUGCAAAGGUGUGUUCUUCCUGCUCGGAUAAAUGCUGCACCUGAGCAAGACUUAGACAUUUUUAGGAUUCAAGCCAAGGGAUACGUUGGGCAGGGCAUAUAUUACAGUUGAGGGAAAAGCAAAACAAGUGUCUAAAGUUUUUAGGGGAGAGAAAAGAUUAAUUUGAUUGUAGGCCUAUUUCUAAGUCAGGUUCUCUGGGCCCCAGCAUCCUGUUUACUUCCAGUAAUAUCUGUCUGAACCCUCUUAGGUCCAGAUGGUCUCUCAAUUGUAGUCAUGGAGUAUAGAGUACAUGAAGGGAUGUAGUGAUCUGAAAAUGUGGACAUCUUGUUUAAUCUCCUAGGAAGCUGUGGUAAAGGUAACAAGGACACACACCCUUCUUUUGAGGAGGUCUUUUCCCCUUCCAUAAAACAUGCCUUUUGUUUACUUCCUUUUCAUCCUAAUCCAGGUAAAUGAGAAAUCCAGGAUGCACAUCCUGCUAGUUAUUUAUGGUCCAAUUAUUAAAUGGGGGUGGAGCUGAGGUUGGAGUUUUUCCUAUACCUCAUCUGCACAUGCUCAGUAAGAAGAGAAGAUUGACUUGGGAAAUCACUCCUGCUUGGAAUUUUGAGGUGCCAGGUCCCAGAAGCAGUUAGUUAUGGGACAUGCUGCCAGUUGUAUUUGAUGAAAGGUUGAGUGCUUCGCCCUAAGGAACAUUGGGAACUUAUUUGCAGCAUCUGAAACAUAAAUAGCCAUCUGUGUGGGAGGAAAACAACCAAACAUGAUUGAGGAGACUCAAAAGUUUAAGGACACCAAGCAGAAAAUCAAUCCAUUUAAUUGGGUUAAUCUAAUGAAGAAAACAUGAAACCAACCUAUUUACCAACCAACACAUUGAAGGGGAAUCAUGCUGGAGAAAAAGUCCCAAGCCCACAAAAAGAUUGUAAGGAAAAAAGCCCUGGUGACAUAGGGGCCAUCCAUGCUGGUGAGAAUGGAAUUAUAACAGGGCAUUUUUGUGCAGUUCUAUGUUUUCUUUCUUUCCCACCAUCCUUUUUCCUCCCCUUCCCUCUCAGUUUCUUUUUGGCUAUAGAUACACACAGCAAGCCUCAUGAAAUGCACAAGAAUGAAAAGAAGGCAGCUAUACUUGCAGGUGGAUUCUUCUGUUUGGAAAGGUGGUCACGUGUGUACUUUUGGUUUAAAACCUCUCUUUCCUCACACACACAGAAUAAAUCCCCACCUGCUUCAGUGAGCAUGACCUUCUAUAAUUGGCUUGGUGAAAACUUCCUGGGUGACAUUGGCUAGAUUUUCUGCCACAUUCAAAUUCAUAUUUUUCUACUUUCAAGCAUGGGAGGUAAGAAACUGGAUAUGAACUGGUGCUCUGCCUUGAGGAUUGCCCUAAUCUCAGAUUUUAAUUCUUUUCUCACAUGUUUGUCAUGACAUUUCAGUGAUUUCAUUUCUUCAUAUGUUUAUCCUUGCCCCUUCUUGAUGACUUAUA